GACGAACGCUGGCGGCGUGCCUAAUACAUGCAAGUCGAGCGAAGUUUUUCUGGUGCUUGCACUAGAAAAACUUAGCGGCGAACGGGUGAGUAACACGUAAAGAACCUGCCUCAUAGACUGGGACAACUAUUGGAAACGAUAGCUAAUACCGGAUAACAGUAUUUCUCGCAUGAGAGAUAUUUAAAAGUUGGUUAUGCUAACACUAUGAGAUGGCUUUGCGGUGCAUUAGCUAGUUGGUGGGGUAAAGGCCCACCAAGGCGACAAUGCAUAGCCGACCUGAGAGGGUGAUCGGCCACACUGAGACUGAGACACGGCCCAGACUCCUACGGGAGGCAGCGGUAGGGAAUCUUCCGAAAUGGGCGGAAGACUGACGGAGCAACGCCGCGUGAGUGAAGAAGGACUUCGGUUCGUAAAGCUCUGUUGUUAGGGAAGAAUGGAUAUGUAGUAACUAUACAUGUAAGAGACGGUACCUAAACAGAAAGCCACGGCUAACUACGUG
rnacentral:rRNA from 1 species